AUGUUUUGAUGUUCUGUAGUUAGCACAAUAAAAAAUUCUGUUCUUAUCAGCUAUACUAUCUGAUACGGGUCCUAUUUGGACCCAAGAUAUUAAACUUAUUUUUGGAAUGGGGCAGAGUGCUUGAAGCUUGCUUCACCUCCGCCACGGGUUGGCCCGGUAUUGCCCUGCCUCCGGGAUCGGCCCACUCACC
rnacentral:snRNA from 1 species